GGCGGGCUCCGAGCAAAGAGGAGGUGAUUCCUCUCCGUCCUCCCUCCCCACGCCCAGCCUCCCUCGCCGCUCCGGUGGGGGUCCAGCGCAUCCUGCCCCCUCAGCGCCUUCCCCGUCCCCCCGCCGCUAAGAUGGCUGGUGGUGGGCAGUGAGGCGGCAGGCGGGGCUGCGGGGAGCCGUCGCCGGCCGGCGCGCGGCGGGGCAGGCGGGGGUGGCUGACGGGACGGGAGCGGGGAGGGUGGGGGGGGGGGUGUGGGAAGCCGCGCGGCGCCAUGUCCGCCUUCGCCCUGGAGGAAACGCUGGAGGCCGACUGGGUGGCCGUCAGGCCUCACGCCUUCCAGGAGCGGGAGAAGCACAAGUUCGUCUUCAUCGUGGCCUGGAACGAGAUCGAGGGCAAGUUCGCCAUCACCUGCCACAACCGCACGGCGCAGCGCCAGCGCAGCGGCUCCCGCGAGCUGCGCCGCGGCGGCCCCGCCGGCCCCGCCGGCCCCGAGGCCAGAGCCGCCCCCAAGGCCGGCAGCCCCGCGGCGCGCCGGGACGCCGGCCUGCCGCGGGGCCCCUCGCGUCCCCGCGCCGAGGCGCGGCUGCGGGCCUGCGAGCGGGGCGCGGCGGCCGAGGCGCUGCCGAAGAGCCCGCUGCGCGCCAGGAGCGGCCCGGCCCGGAGGCCGCAGCGGGGCCCGGAGGCGGCAGGUGCCGCCGAAGAGAUAGAAGUGCUGGAGCUGGGGAAGGAGGAGGCGGCCGCCGCGCUGUCGCCGCCGCCCUCGCCGCUACAGGCAGCCGAGCCUGCCGCUCCCGACGCGGAGCCCGCGGGGGAAGAGUGCAGCUGGGCUGGCCUCUUCUCCUUCCAAGACUUGCGGGCUGUGCACCAGCAGCUGUGCUCGGUGAACUCGGAGCUGGAGCCCUACCUGCCUGCCUUCCCCGAGGAGCCCUCGGGCAUGUGGACGGUGCUGUUCGGAGCCCCGGAGCUAUCCGAGCAGGAGAUGGACGCUCUCUGCUACAAACUGCAAGUUUACUUGGUCCACAGCUUGGAUACCUGCGGCUGGAAGAUCCUUUCGCAGGUGCUCUUCACCGAGACUGACGACCCCGAAGAGUAUUACGAGAGCCUGAGUGAGCUGCGGCAGAAGGGGUACGAGGAGGUGCUGCAGCGGGCCCGCAGGCGAAUCCAGGAGCUUCUGGAAAAACAUAAGAACACGGAAAGCAUGGUAGAGCUGCUUGAACUGUAUCAAAUGGAAGAUGAAGCCUACAGUAGUCUUGCAGAAGCUACCAUGGAGCUCUACCAGUACUUACUACAGCCAUUCCGAGAUAUGAGGGAACUUGCAAUGCUUAGAAGACAGCAGAUAAAGAUCUCGAUAGAGAAUGACUACCUAGGCCCCAGAAGAAUUGAGAGUCUGCAAAAAGAAGAUGCUGAUUGGCAGAGAAAAGCCCACAUGGCUGUGCUUUCUAUUCAAGAUCUUACAGUUAAAUACUUUGAAAUAACAGCUAAAACACAGAAAGCUGUGUACGAUCGAAUGCGAGCAGACCAGAAAAAAUUUGGUAAAGCAGCAUGGGCAGCAGCAGUGGAACGUAUGGAAAAGCUUCAGUAUGCAGUUUCUAAGGAGACUUUGCAGUUGAUGCGUGCUAAAGAAAUCUGUUUGGAGCAGAAGAAACAUGCACUGAAAGAGGAGAUGCAGAGCCUGAAAGGUGGUACAGAAGCCAUAGCCCAUUUGGACCAGUUAGAAGCUGACUAUUAUGAUCUACAGCUUCAAUUAUAUGAAGUGCAGUUUGAGAUCUUGAAAUGUGAAGAACUGCUGCUGACAGCACAACUUGAAAGCAUCAGAAGACUGAUGUCAGAGAAGAGAGAUGAAGUGGUAUAUUAUGACACUUACGAAAGUAUGGAAGCCAUGCUUGAAAAAGAGGAUACAGCAACAUCUAUACACUUGCAAAAAGAGGAGCUGCAAAAGUUACAACAAAAAAUCCGCCAGCUGGAAGCAAGGCGUGGACGUAUUUCAGCCAAGAAAGCCUACCUCAGAAAUAAGAAGGAGAUCUGUAUUGCAAAGCAUAAUGAAAAGAUCCAACAGCGUUACCAGAGUGAGGAGGAAUAUAAAAUGCACCAUACUGUUCAGCUAAAGCGAGAUCAAUUACAAGAUGAAGAGGAAAGAAAGAGCUCCUGGGUUAGUCAGGAACGACAGAAAACACUGGACAGACUUCGCACAUUUAAACAGCGGUACCCUGGGCAAGUAAUACUUAAAUCAACCAGACUACGGCUGACUCACGCCAGAAGAAAAUGUGCAGCCAGCUCCGUGUCCUGUGUCAAUCAGCCUCAAUCUUUGCCAGCAACCAUACAAAUUCAAGAGAAAAGUGAAGAGGUAGAAUUGGAAAAUGCAGUUCAGCCUUUAGAAGUGCAGGAAUCCACAAGCUUAGAACAACUUCAAGAUACCUCGUUACCUCCCAGUGGUGUUACCUCUGAACUGCCUCAUGUUACCACUUCUCCACUCAGCAGUAAUGAGCUUCAACCAGAAACUGUUACUGUAGUACCGCUUCCACCCCCUUUGCCUCCACCAAUUCCACCUCCGCCUCCACCUUUGCCCUUCAAGGAAGAUGCCACCAAAUCCUUAGAGAAAAGCGACAGCUUUGUUAAACGUCAGAGUGAGGAGAAGGGAGUCCAGCACUCUUCCGGUAUCCCGCCAGCACAUCUGUUUGACAGCAGUCAGUUAGUCAGUGCCAAGAAGAAGCUUAAGAAGACCGGUGAUCUAGAGGGUUUACAGAGGAGGAAAGUGAGUUCCCCGAUGGAUGAAGUGCUGGCUUCCUUGAAACGUGGCAGCUUUCACUUAAGGAAAGUUGAGCAGAGAAGUCUCCCUCCUUUUCCUGAUGAAGAUGAUAGCAAUAACAUCUUGGCACAGAUCAGGAAAGGGGUGAAACUGAAGAAAGUGCAGAAAGAUGUUUUGAGAGAAUCAUUUACAAUUUUGCCUGAUACUGACCCACUGACAAGGAGCAUCCAUGAAGCAUUGCGACGAAUUAAGGAAGCAUCACCUGAAUCAGAGGAUGAAGAGGAGAGUUUGCCUUGCACAGACUGGGAAAAUUAACCUGUAAUUAACCUACAUUUAAAAAAAAAAAUAUUUCUUCAACACUUUUCGUAUAACAAUAGCAGCUAAGCCUCAGGUUGUGCAUUCUAGGAGACUUAGUAUGAAUGUUACUAAACUGUCUGACAUCCAACGUGGUAAAACAUGCACAUAUGAAUUUAGUAUUACUGACUUUUCCAAGAAUUAAGGUUUAUAGUAAGGAAAACUUUUUUUAGGCAACAUCUUAGCCUUUUAUUGUUUGAAUACUUUUGCUGAAUAUUGACAGGACUACUCCUUUAAAAAGCUCUGUUUUAUUUAGUAAAUUUGAAGGUACCAUUUGCAGCUUACCAAAAAGCUUUAAAAAGCUUUUAAGUAAUAAAGCAGCACAAUCACUCUUGGACACAUUUUGUACUUAUUUUCUAAUUACUUCUGGCCUUGCAAAAAUUUAGCACAUUUAUCAUUUCAGACUGAAUAGCUUCAAGUGAAGGACGGUUAGAUUUGACUGCUGAACACAUUGAAAUCUCAUUGGUUACCCUGUGUGACUGACUCUUUGAUAGCUUGUUUUCAAUCUGUAAACUCUCUGACUUAAUUGAAUUUCCAGACUGUAAACAGUAAAUAUACAAAUAUAAUUUAUACUUCUGCUACUCCUAUGAAUCCCAUGAACUUCCAUUAUACUAAGCUACAGUGCCUGAAAGUGCAGAUACGAGACUUAAGCUGAUGAAAUUCAUGAUUUCAGGACACAGCAGAAAUUGGCAAGAAAUUAGUUUUCAAAAUUAUGGCUGCAUCAGUAGCACAAAUGGAUUCUUGAUUACAACAACAGCAUACAGCACUAUUCUUCUGUGGUGGUAUUUUUCUGCUACUGGCACGUGGAUGAACUUAAGUCUCAGUGAAAGUUCCCACUAAACUUAAAAUUUGGAGAAAAGAGAGGUGAUUCACAGCCACUGAUGUGAGAAAAGAAACCCCAGUUGAAGAUUACUUUUCCUCUUCAUUUCUGAAUAUUCAGAGCCCGCAGUUAUGACCAUCAAUUCCACAGGAGGCUUUCUUUGGCAAAUGAUUCAGUACAUGGAAAAAAUGGCCUGAAAUAUUAAUUUUCGGGUCACUUUUUUCUUUAAUUUGUUCAAAAAAUUCUGGUUUGGGCAGAAAGCUAAUUUGUUUAGAUGUGCAUUUUAUAUAAUCAAGAAUGCCCAAUUCUUAAGCACUUUUUAUAUUUGCGUUAGUAAUAUGUGGCCAGUUAAGUGAGGGGAGGGGCAUUUUGAGUUGGGAGAAUACUUGCUGUUAGAGUAACUUUGGGAUUCAGCCAAGACAUCAAACCAGCUAUAAAACGUCCUCUUCACUGCACUGAAUAUAUAUCAUCUGCUUGAAAAAUCCAACUAAAUAGCUCCUUGCAGAGAAGCUUGCUGUGUAGCAGUGUGAUAUUCCAGAGAGAGCAGAAUUCCUAGUUGCACUACAGUAGCUGAAAUUCAGUAACAUGCAACUAAGACUUUUUUUCUUCUUAGUUUGAAGAAGUGUAUGUCAGUAUGAAGAGUAACAGGUGACCACAGCACAAUGAGAAAUAAGAAUUCAGUACAUAUUCAAGAAUGUGUUUGUUUCCAACAUGGUACAUUUAGCAAGACAUACUGCACACCUUUUUAGAAGGUCAUUGGUAGUCUGACACCUUUUUAAUGUAGACAUUUUCAUGCUUUUUUAAAAUCAUAUUUAGCUAUGCUGAACCAAGGUAGUUAUACUUUUAUCAUGUUACAAGAAGCAGUAUUUUGAAAUUUCAUUCUUAAAUUUAUUUUUCUCUUUUGGAUUAAAAUGGCUUUUGACUCCUCUAAGCAGCCUUCUUUAAAAAAGAUCAAAGCACUUAAACAUACUGGUAAUUCAGUUGUGAAAAUCAUGCUGCUUUUGCUGGUUUUCAUUAUUCCCUUUAGUGGCUGCAAAAAUGUUUGUAUUUCAUACCCAAAAGCCUACCGGCUGGGAAAAAACUUCCCUUUUGAUCCUGACUAUUUGUUUUUUUAAAGGAGAGUUACAGCUUCCUCUGCGGUGAAUACUUAGAAGUAAUCCUGAACUUCAUGACUAAUGGCUGCAGGCAGCUACUCUUACAAUACCAUAGUACUAAGAGGUAUGUCAGUACAGAGAUACAAAUAGCCUUGUACCAUCUAGAAACUCCAUGUGAUAUUAAAGUCAGCCCAUUACAAUUCUAGGAAAACUGAAUUUUCACUAGCCUUUUAUUUUUACUACCAUGACAUACUACAGCAUGACACGUGUUUGAGAAAUACACAGUUGCUGUCAUUUGUGCAGUGUGGUCCAUUCACUGUUGCUCUUGUGACGGACAAACUACUAUGGGGAUUUAGUUUUUUUAAGUGGAGUUAUGCAUUGCUGUCAUGUAAUGGAACACGUACUGUGUUAACAUUUAUAACAGGAGAUUUCACGUCUUGCCAUUUACUUAUAUAAAGAGGAACAGGAGAACUUACCUUAGCAAUAGGCUACGUAACCUAAAGGAACGUCAGCUCUUGCACCCUUCAGUUGUUUUGCUGUGGCUGUCCUGAAAUUAAAGCUCUGUCAAACAUCUUGAAAGGAUGUCACUUUACCCUUGCUAUCAACAGGCAUUUCCUUAACUUUGUUGCCUUAUUUAUAAAGUUAGUGAACAUUCAUUUUCAAAGCACCUGUGAGCAGUGUUACUGUGGAGUUGUAUUGAUUUUGCUUUAUUAGUCUUCAGGUCUGUAUUUUUCUGUCCCAAGAUCAGGUCUAUGAAACACAUGGCACUGGCUUUCCAAGGACCUAAAACUACACAGUAUUUUUUUCUUAAACUGCUUCUCUGAACCCUGAAUUACAUGGUGUGGUUGCAAGCUGUCUAAUAUUGUGUUCAUGCAGCAAUAACAGCAAUUUCAAAGUUCAUCAUAAUCAUUUGGCAUUGCCUAUACCAUAAGCUGUGUGUAUUUUUACUCUACAUUUGUCUAUACUACCAGUCACACCACGUUAAAAGCGAGGUAAUCAAAUAAAUUUUUGGCUGUAGCACAAAGCAGAACUAUGACGUAGAAUGGUAAUUCAGAUUAUACAGUUCAUCUGAAACUUAGUGCUAAAUUAACAGUGGUGAUGGAGCAACUUUUAUGUCCAUUUUUUCUAUUUUCCAGCCUGCAGUUUUAUUCCUUAGAUUAUGCAUAUGGGACACUAGCAAAAUUCCAAGCCGAGGAAAAAUAGUGUAAUUUAAAGUAGAGGUGGAGUGGUCUCCUUGAACAACAUUUGUGUGUACAGUUUACCGCUGUGUUGUGAUUUAUCUAAGUAGCUCCAUGCUGUACUGUACUACAGUUUUCAGAUUUGUUUGCUACAUGAUCUGUCAUCUUUGCGUUGAAAAAUGCGUGCAUGAUUGAGAAAAAUUACUGUCCUUAAUCUGUUUUCUAUUUAGCUGAAAUCUUAGAUUCCUGUAAUAGUUUAGGUUAUAGAAAUGGAGUUCUCAUACAAAAUUGUAUUUUAUGUGCACGCAAAAAGUAGUUGUUAUGCUGAGCGUAGCAGUUUAUAUCAGUUCAAAACUGCCAUCUUCAGUGUGGAAAGUGCAUGGUUUUUUUCCACACACUGCUAAAAAAAAAAAUUCCUCGAUUUUAAUUCUCCAUGAGUCACUAGAUGUCACAAUUUCACAUAAUUCUGCACUUCGAUAUAAAAAUUGUGCAUAUGUAAUGUACAGGCUAAUGCAUAAAACUUCCUGUCCUCUGUAAUGUGGAAUUUUGCUGUGGGAUGGCUACAGCAGCAAAUGGGGAAGGUUUAAGUAUAUUUACGAGAAACUUACGGAAAUUAUGACAGUCCUGCAUUGAGAUUGGUUCCUCCAUAGCUGGGAAAAGCUGUGGUAAUUGUGUUGGUCCUUGAGAAAUCUUAGCAAGCAUCACUACAGAAAAACACGCAAACACAUGCAAGGAAAGAGAGCCUCCAUAAAAAGACAUUUCUACCUAUUGGUAUUUUUCAUUUGUGUCUGGGCUUCAUUGUUGUUGCUGCAUUUUUCUGUUGCUCGUCAUUUAUCGUAAGCAGUUUGUUAGCUUUCAGGCCUUUUCCACUUUUAGAAACUUCUUUGUUCCGAUUAAAACUGUUUUAGUAUAGUAUAACUGAUCCAGAUGAAGAGUUGGAAUGCGUAAUGUUAUUGUACAAAUGCUUAUGUGAGGACUGAAAAAUCUUUCAUGAGUGGGAACAAGAAACAAAAUACUCAAUUUCUACUAAAAUAACCAAAAUGUAAGGUAAACAGCAAUAGUCUUUUGAUCAGAAAUGGAAUUUCCAUCAACAUGAUUUCAUGCUCUCGUUCACAGAUGUUCCAGAUCCUUUCCAAAUGACCAAUAGUCUUGUUUUAUUCACUUCACUAUGUUUUCAUAUGUUAGUUAAGUUACCUGUCUAGGGUAGAUGAAAGCUUUUUUUAUUUUUCUUAAAGAUCACUUUUAAGGUUUGGGGUGGGAUUUUUUUUGUUUUGUUUUGUUUUUUUAAAUCUGACAGUUUGCAUCCUACACCAGACACCUGUAAAAUAAAUUAGUAUGAUUAUAUAUUGUGUUCUUUUGUGGCUGCAUCAGGGACAGAACUCAACAUACUUCACUACAUUAUUUGUAAAGAAUCAUUUUGAGUAUAAGCACUAUAUUCUGUAAUGUUUAAUAUUAAAGUAAUGACAGGUGCAUUUUUGAAGGUGCAACUUAGUAAGGAGGCAGAAACUUCUAUUGGUUAAUGUUACCCUUACUCCAUUUGUUGCACUGAAUUUCAGGAGUGUAAUUUGUAAACCAAGUUUGCUCACAUGUGUGUAAUCAGAUUUUAUUUUCAUUGUAAUGCUUAUGUAAUUAAAUUAUCUGGAUAUAUUUCUGGUAAUGAUUCCAUAAGCAUGGACCAUAUGUUGUUAUGUUUAGCACUAUGGAAUUAAUGUUAAGAACAAGCAAAGCUUCUUGCAAAGAAAAGGAGUAAACAGAAGCACCUUACUGGGAGAGCACAUUGCAUGAUUUCAGUGCUACUGGAGCUGACAGACAGUAAGUCAUCCUAAACUUGACUGCAUAUUGCUCUUUGGUGUACUAGCACAUUGACAUACUGCUAUCAGUGCUGUAAAAAGUACAGCCAUGGCUAUUUUUAACCUAUAAAUAUACCGUAAUUUAAAUUUUUCCUAAAAAAUUAAUUUAUAUUUAAUUGCUGCCUAAUACAUAAAUACUUAAAAUUAGGAUUUUUAGAAGGGUCAAGGGUGGGUGGGCAUGCCAGUAUAUUUUUGGGAGGGGUUGUUGUAUAUACAGUUCUUUGCACUUCCCAUUCACUUUGUUAAUCCAAAACUCCCAGCUCUGACUGUGGUGAAUCUGCAACCUGACAUUUACGUAUUUUUAUUGUGAUUCAGGUCUUCUAUAUUCUGUGGCCCAGAGCUUCAGAAUUUGACAGAAAAGGUCAUCUUUCCAUUCUCAAAUGUGAAUGCUCUGAUGUACCUCUAAUAUGGAAAAUGACCAAGCAAUGAAUUUUACUCUGCUGAGUUUCUAAUAUUGAUGUAGAGUAUUAUCUAAAGCUGAUAUCUAAGACUAUUAACCAGUAGUGUGUCUGUUUGGAACAAGUAAAAAGGAUGAUGGCUGUUUUGGUGAGUAUAGUCCAAACUCUGCAGAGAUUUUAUUCCAGAGACUGUCACCUAUUCAGUAAUUAGUUUGCCAUAGACAGGUGCAAUUUUCAGAUUUAGAAAAGUAUUUUUGAUUUCUGUAUUGGGAAAUAGGUGUUGGGGAUUAGGGAUACUCACUUAACAUCUCCCAGUGUGUUACUGUGGUUGCUAUAUGUUUUAAAUUUCAUCUUAAAUACAUACAAAUACAUCAUCAUAAGAUGAAAGCUUAAGAAAUACAGAUGCUGCAGGUUGUCUUGCAUGAGUGAAGCCAGUGAAGUUUAAUGAAACUGACUUCUUUGUUAAGCCUGUGUUGAAUAAAUAAGAAUAAUCAAAAGAAAACCAAUUUGCCAUUCACUAGCUUUGUGCAACAUUAUUGGUAGACUCAAACACUACUAGGACAUUGUGCUUGGCUUUAAGGUUCUUUAACUCCAUUGUAUUCAAAAGGACAUAUUAAAUACAUUUUUUUAUUGUAAACGACUCUGCAAAUUUACUAUGCCUAAAAAUGCUCCAUGUUAUAAAGUAACAAGUAUGUUUAAAAAAAAAGGUAAAAAACUAAACAAACAUUUCUAGCAAUACCUAAAACUAAAAAAAGUUUUAACUGUCUGCUUUUUGCUUUCUUCUUUAGUGCACCUUUUCUGCAAUGCAAGUUUAUUGCUGUGUAUUUCGUGUUUUUUAUUAUCAUGAGUCAGAAAUUUAAACCUGUACACAAAAGUACUGCACUCACCUUCUUGUCCAUGCGAUGUAACAUCAUACUCACAGUUUUGGUGCUUUAAAAUUAUUCCUUUUUUCUUUAUUAAAGGAUAUUUAUUUGA